AGCAGCCGCGGUAAUUCCAGCUCCAAUAGCGUAUAUUAAAGUUGCUGCAGUUAAAAAGCUCGUAGUUGAAUUUCGGGACCAUCAUGUCGGUCGUGCCUCGGUACGUACUGGCAUUGUUGGUUUCUCCCUUCUGACGAACCAUGAUGUCAUUAAUUUGGUGUCUUGGGGAAUCAGGACUGUUACUUUGAAAAAUUAGAGUGUUUAAAGCAGGCUCACGCUUGAAUACAUUAGCAUGGAAUAAUGAAAUAGGACGUUUGAUUCUAUUUUGUUGGUUUCUAGGAUCGACGUAAUGAUUAAUAGGGAUAGUUGGGGGCAUUAGUAUUCAAUUGUCAGAGGUGAAAUUCUUGGAUUUAUUGAAGACUAACUACUGCGAAAGCAUUUGCCAAGGAUGUUUUCAUUAAUCAAGAACGAAAGUUAGGGGAUCGAAGACGAUCAGAUACCGUCGUAGUCUUAACCAUAAACUAUGCCGACUAGGGAUCGGAUGAUGUUAAUUUUUAAUGUACUCAUUC
rnacentral:rRNA from 1 species